UGACCCAAAGGUUAAGAAACGGUUGCUCUCU
rnacentral:piRNA from 1 species